UACAGAGGUCCCGAGCGUUUGUUCGGAUUCACUGGGCGUAAAGGGUGCGUAGGUGGUGGGAUAAGUCGGAUGUGAAAAUCUCGGAGCUUAGCUCCGAAACUGCAUUGGAAACUGUCCUGCUAGAGGGGUUGGAGGGGGGGACUGGAAUACUUGGUGUAGCAGUGAAAUGCGUAGAUAUCAAGUGGAACACCGGUGGCGAAGGCGAGUCCCUGGACAACACCUGACACUGAGGCACGAAAGCUAGGGGAGCAAACAGG
rnacentral:rRNA from 1 species